GUGGGGAAUAUUGGACAAUGGGGGGAACCCUGAUCCAGCCAUGCCGCGUGUGUGAAGAAGGCCUUUUGGUUGUAAAGCACUUUAAGCGAGGAGGAGGCUACCGAGAUUAAUACUCUUGGAUAGUGGACGUUACUCGCAGAAUAAGCACCGGCUAACUCUGUGCCAGCAGCCGCGGUAAUACAGAGGGUGCAAGCGUUAAUCGGAUUUACUGGGCGUAAAGCGCGCGUAGGUGGCCAAUUAAGUCAAAUGUGAAAUCCCCGAGCUUAACUUGGGAAUUGCAUUCGAUACUGGUUGGCUCGAGUAUGGGAGAUGAUGGUAGAAUUCCAGGUGUAGCGGUGAAAUGCGUAGAGAUCUGGAGGAAUACCGAUGGCGAAGGCAGCCAUCUGGCCUAAUACUGACACUGAGGUGCGAAAGCAUGGGGAGCAAACAGGAUUAGAUACCCUAGUAGUCC
rnacentral:rRNA from 1 species